rnacentral:rRNA from 1 species
AAUGAACGCUGGCGGCGCGCCUAAUACAUGCAAGUCGAGCGAGAAGACGUAGCAAUACGUUUGUAAAGCGGCGAACGGGUGAGGAAUACAUGGGUAACCUACCCUAGAGUGGGGAAUAACUAGCCGAAAGGUUAGCUAAUACCGCGUACGCUCCUUGGACUUCGGUUCAGGGAGGAAAGCGAUGCCGAGGGUAUCGCGCUCUUGGAUGGGCUCAUGUCCUAUCAGCUUGNGGUGAGGUAACGGCUCACCAAGGCUUCGACGGGUAGCUGGUCUGAGAGGACGAUCAGCCACACUGGCACUGCGACACGGGCCAGACUCCUACGGGAGGCAGCAGUAAGGAAUAUUGCGCAAUGGGCAAAGCCUGACGCAGCGACGCCGCGUGGGGGAUGAAGGUCUUCGGAUUGUAAACCCCUUUCGGGAGGGAAGAUGGAAUGGGGUAACUCAUUCGGACGGUACCUCCAGAAGCAGCCACGGCUAACUUCGUGCCAGC